AUUGAACGCUGGCGGCAUGCCUUACACAUGCAAGUCGAACGGUAACGGGCCUUCGGGUGCCGACGAGUGGCGAACGGGUGAGUAAUACAUCGGAACGUGCCCGAUCGUGGGGGAUAACGAGGCGAAAGCUUUGCUAAUACCGCAUACGAUCUACGGAUGAAAGCAGGGGACCGCAAGGCCUUGCGCGGACGGACCGGCCGAUGGCAGAUUAGGUAGUUGGUGGGAUAAAAGCUUACCAAGCCGACGAUCUGUAGCUGGUCUGAGAGGAUGAUCAGCCACACUGGGACUGAGACACGGCCCAGACUCCUACGGGAGGCAGCAGUGGGGAAUUUUGGACAAUGGGCGCAAGCCUGAUCCAGCCAUGCCGCGUGCAGGAUGAAGGCCUUCGGGUUGUAAACUGCUUUUGUACGGAACGAAAAGCCUUCUUUUAAUACAGGAGGGUCAUGACGGUACCGUAAGAAUAAGCACCGGCUAACUACGUG
rnacentral:rRNA from 1 species